rnacentral:misc_RNA from 1 species
AACGCAUAUUGCACCUUUUGGUACUCCGAAAGGUACACCUGUUCGAGCGUCAUUUAAAUCUUCAAGUUUUACUUGAUGUUGGAGAAAAUUUUAGUUAAUAUCUCCUAAACUUUUAGGCACCUCCCAGUAAUUUUAGAGUGUGACAAAGUCAAAUACUCACUAAAAAUGAUGGGGGGUAUGUCAAAAAAUUAGUUGGAAAUUCAUUAAUUUUGAAAUUCUUUGGUAUUUUACUUACUAAAUUGAUCAACUUUAGUGGGAUACCCCUUUAAUUUCUUGAAAUUUUAGUGGGUUACCCCCUAAUAAUUAUCGGAUUUAGUGAAAUACCCCCUAAAAGUCUUUUGAAUUUACUGUAUACCCACUAAUUUUUCGUACUUUUGACCUCGGAUCAGGUGGGGAUACCCGCUGAACUUAA